rnacentral:lncRNA from 1 species
CCAGCCACAAUGCGUUAGAAAACCUCCAAUAGAUGGGUGGUUGAGAACUUCUUCUUGUGGACACCAACUACAAAUAAAGCCCCUUUCUUUUGUUUCUUCAGUGAAUUCUGGUGGCAAUAUCGCGGAGUCGCCGGUGAUCAUGUCAGGUCGUAUUAUCCAUAAAAAUGGGUGACCACUUUUAGAAAGUCCCGUUCCAAAUUCAAUGAGCUGCUCCUUUGUAGCCACUACUACGCUACCAAAAUUCACAUAAAUUACCGAGUUGGGUGUCUUGGAAGCAAGCCAUUGGAGACACUCAACUUCUUCUUUCCAUAGGUUACAAUCAAUAGAAUUUAGAUAAUCUUCUUGGAUUUGAUUGAGAAGUAAUUGAAGUGGACCGAUUGUGUAGACACGAGGGAACAUAGGAUAAAGGGCAGUCAGGACUUCUUGCUCUAAAGCAUCAAAAGUAUGGAAAAUGACCGCAGAAGCUGAAGGAGCUCUCUCAGCGCAUCCUAGGCAGAAGUUGAACAUAAAAUCAGUUGCAUCUGUUGUACGAACAAAACUUGGAAGAUCUCUUAUCCGUAUAUCUUUCAUUCCUGGAAUCCAGUCUACUACCUUUUCCAGGAAGCCAUUUGUUAAAAAGCUCUCAUCUGAAACAAAAUUGAGAAAAUAAGUAUCUUUUAAUCGAUAGAGCUAUCUAAAUAGCGAGCAAUGAAUAAGCAGACAGAUCGAUAACGACUUUCUUUAUAUGUGUAAGCAGAGAUUCACUGAUACAAACUCCUAGAAGAACUAAAAGCGGUCUAAGCGCAUUGUAGAGAAGAUAUGAACUCCCUAAUAUGAGAAGGAAAAGACUGAAUUAUAUAUAAUCCAUAUAUACAGAAUCCACGCAUUAUAUAUAUAUAUAUAUAUAUAUAUAAUACCCAGUAGACUUUCCAAUUAAUUAGAUGAAAAUCGAAGAUUGGAUUUUUUUUUUGGUAACGUAAAUAAUUUUACUUUUAUAACUAGUUUUUUUACCGAUAUUUCAGACUAAAAGAGAUAUCAAUUUUUUACUUUUGUAUUGAAAUUGGAUUUGAACAUCUUUGGAUCUAUUUAAUAUUGGUGUGAUUCUCAGUUUCUUAAACAAAAAUUAAAAAUUUAUCUUACCAUAAUAAUUAGUUUUAUGGUUUCCUACUUUUAGAUCCCAGAAACUAGUUUUAUUUAUUUACCCCUAUCUAUCCUUUAAACGGCAAGAACAACAAAUGGGCUUUUAAUUUUUCUCUUAUUCAUACCUUUCAGUGGUGUAAGACCUCUUUCCUUGAGCGCCUUGUAUUGUUUAAAGCCCAUGAAGCUGCAAGCGGAGAUGGUGAAUAACAGCGCAAUCGGAAUUUGGUGCAUCUCAGCCGAAGUGAUAGCUACUGGCAUGAAACCAUCAGAGAGGAUGCAGGUCACUGGAGGCGAAUCAGAAGCUGCUGUGUCAUUGAGCUUGUCAAGAACUUCAUUAAACGGAUCCAGCAAGUUCUUCGAGGCAGCCUCACCAACUGCGGAGACAUCUGGGCUGGCAUUCUCAUCUGAAGGAGGAAGGCCAUCUGGAAUCGACUCGAACCGAAAGUCGGGCAACCCAUUCAGGGAAUCAGGACCUCUAGAUUUAAGCAAACGCUUAUGGCUAGACUCUGUGUUGACAAAGGUGAUGUGAAAUCCUCUGUGAUGUAGUAGUUUUGCUAAUUUAAGCAUUGACUUUAUAUGGCUUGAAAUGGGCUAGGGAGACAGACUGCAUGAGGCUUAUGAUGAUCAGCUAAAACACUAUAAACCAUCUCCCUAACUCACUCUUCGUUUCCCUGUUUUCUCCAAGUUCUCUGCAAUUUAGAGAUUCUACUCUUACAUACAGCAAUAGUUAAGUUAUGCUAUUGCUGCUACAGUUUUUUUUUUUUAAUUAUUAUUUUAUCAAUAUAUAGGACUUCUAAUUCAAGUCAUACACGGCAGCAUUUAUUUUAUAUUUUAUCUUAAAGAUAUUAUGGAAAUCUGAAACCACAUGCUUCUGUCUCUGCUUGCUCUUCGAUCUUUGCCCGAGCCCAUAUUCCCAGGUUAUGGGCUUUUAGGUUUUUGAACUUUUUUUUAAGAUAUAUUAUUUUUUUGGAUACCAUCAUGUACAAUAUCAUUUUUUAGAUCCUACAAUAUAUUUUUUUUUAGAGGAUUUACGUAACACAAUUGUUUUACUAAGUAUGAAAAUAUAUUUUCUAGUAAUUUUUGAAUCCUUGAGUUUGAUAUCCAAUGACCAUAACUGAUAUCUUUUUAGUAUUUUAAGGUGUAUCUCAAAUACUUGUCUAUUUUUUAAUUAAUUUUCAAUGAUCUAUACUUAAAUAACUGGUAAAUCUACUUUGUUUGCUAGCCGAGUAAACAAUAUCAUGUCUCGUGUAGUUUAUAAUAUACAUCAAGCUCUUAAUUAUUUGAGAAUAUUAUAAUUGAUGUAUUCUCUUGCCUUUAUUUUCUAGUUUAUGGACACGUGUAUUUUUUAUUGUCACUUUUAUAAUAUUUAUCAAGAAAUUUUCUCAAUAUAAUAAGGUUGGGACAAUAACAAUUCAUUAAAUGUCUUAAGAAAAAUCUUAUUAUUAACAUGAUAUCUAUAACACUCAAGUUUUUUAUGUCAAACUUAUUAAUUAAUAUUUUUUUAGUAAACUUGAUCAUUUAAUUAUUGCUGCCAAAAAUAAUCAUAUUGUUCACAUAAAGGCAUAAAAUGAUAUAAUCUCUUUCAAUGUUUUUUACAUAAAUAUAUUUAUUAACUUUAUUGAUUUUGAACUUAUUUAAUAACAUAACCUAUUAUUUUUUUCAUGUCAUUAUUUAAAAGUUUAUUUCAAAUCAUAUAAUAAUUUAACAAGAUUAUUAUCUUUUUUUCCUAUCUAGUAACCACUAACUCUUUGGUUAUUUCAUAUAUAACUCUUCGUUGAGGUUAUUAUUUAAAAAAAAUAUUUUUAUAAACAUUUGAUGUAUUUCAAAUUUUUUAAUUUAUGUAAAUAUUUUUGUAAAAAUUAUUCUUGACAAAAUUGAAUAUGUGUCAAAAUAAUGUACAUCUUGUUAUCUAAAAUAUUUAACAAGUCUAACUUUAUAUUUGUCAAUAGUUGCAACUUUUAUCUUUAUUUUAAAGAUUCACUUAUAGUUUAAAUGAUUUAUUUCUAGAAGAAAAAUCCACUAGUUUCUCGUAUAUUAUUAUUUAUAAUGAAUUUAAUUUUAUUAUUAACUAUCUUUUUAUCUUGAAAUAUGUUUCACGUUCAUUUUAAAAAAUAUAUAUUUAAAAAUCUAGAUAAUAUUUUAAUUGUUUUUGCCUUAUUAGUUCUUCCGGGCUCAACUCCAUGAUUUUUCAAUGAUGAUUACUUAGCAAUGUAAAAGAAUCAACAAUAAACAUUAGCCUGCCAUAUUAUUUAGCAAUUUAAAAAGCUUAGGAUAUGAUGUGUGUUUAUAUCAGAUAUUAUUAAGCAAUGUAUAAACCAUAAUCACCUUGAAAACAAUACAUUUGUCUUUAGCUGAAAUUAUCUUUUAAUAAAGAAGCAAAAAGGAAUUUAUGACAACAGCACUUCCGUCACUAACUUGUCUAAGUUCAUGGAUGAUGAACCACCGGGCCCAGUGGCCUCCUCAGCUAAUUUUUUCCACUCCAUGGCUUUCUUCUUCAUUUCUUUGGCUUUCUCCCCCUCCAUAAACUCUCUCACAAUCUUCUCCACUUUAUCUCUUGUCACAUUGCUAUCAAUCUCCAUUCCAAUUCCCCACUCGGUGCAUGUGUACCUACAGUUUGUUUGUUGAUCACCAGCGAAUGGCCAACAAAGCAUAGGCACACCAGAAGAAAUGCUCUCAAUUAUGGAAGUCCAUCCACAAUGUGUUAGAAAACCUCCAACUGAUGGGUGGUUGAGGACUUCCUCCUGUGGACACCAACUACAAAUAAAGCCCCUGUCUUUAGUUUCUUCAGUGAAUUCUGGCGGCAAUAUCGCACAGUCGCCGGCGAUCAUGUCAGGUCUUAUGAUCCAUAAAAAUGGAUGACCGCUUUUUGCAAGUCCCAUUCCAAAUUCCAUGAGCUGCUGCUUUGUAGCGACUGCUACGCUGCCAAAAUUAACAUAAACGACAGAGUUGGUUUCUGGGAAUCCAGCCAUUGGAGACAUU